rnacentral:rRNA from 1 species
UACGUAGGGUGCAAGCGUUGUCCGGAAUCACUGGGCGUAAAGGGCGCGUAGGUGGCGCCGCAAGUCCAUGGUGAAAGCUCGAUGCUCAACAUCGAGUCGGCCACGGAGACUGCGGGGCUCGAGCACUGUAGGGGCAGAUGGAAUUCCGGGUGUAGCGGUGGAAUGCGUAGAGAUCCGGAAGAACACCGGUGGCGAAGGCGGUCUGCUGG